GUAUUAUAUUAGUCAAAUGCAUUCAAAUAAAUCAAUAGUUGUUUGUAAAGAGACAUAGACGAUAAAAUCAUCUACAAAGGGUGCACAGGUGGAUAUUGGUUUUAAGAGUGCACAUGCCAAAGCCAGCACAUCUUGUAAAAUCAAUAAUGAUCCUUCCGCAGGUUCACCUACGGAAA
rnacentral:misc_RNA from 1 species